GAGAAGGGGUGUCAGUUGGAAUGUAGAUUGCGAAGGAGAAGGUUUGGAGAGAAAGAGAGAAAGAGAGCAGGGAGAGGAAUUCACUGGAACCAUGGCUGACAUGUUGCCAGUGAUGAGAAUUGGAGUUGUGGGACAUGGACAUUUAGGGCAGUACCUUGUGGAGCGGCUCCAGAAAGAAGGGGCCCAGGUGGGCCUGACACUGGUCUUUGUGUGGAACAGAAACACUGACAAACUCAGGGAAUCAGUGGCUGAGGAGCUCAUUCUACACAACCUCCCAGACUUUACAGACAGGGGUGCUGAUGUGAUUGUGGAGGUGUGUCAUCCCAAAAUUGUAAAAGACUUUGGAGUCCAAUUCCUCUCUAAGGCCCAUUUUCUGGUGGGCUCACCUUCAGCCCUCUCAGACCCACAGCUGAACCAGGAACUGCGCCAGGCUGCAGAGCAUCAUGGGAGGACCCUAUAUGUCCCCAGUGGUGCAUUGUGGGGAGGCCAGGAUAUCCUGAGACUCAAUGAUAGUGGAUCUUUAAAGGCACUGUUCAUCCGGAUGUCCAAGCACCCGUCAUGUUUCCGUCUGACAGGAGACGUGCUGUCUGAUUGGACAGAGGAUGAGGGGAGGCGGGUCUUAUUCAGUGGCUCCGUGGCAGAGCUCUGUCCCGUCGCCCCUAACAACGUCAACACCAUGGCGGCAGCGGCCAUCGCAGCGGGGACCCUGGGUUUCGCUGGCGUCCAGGGGGAGAUUGUGUCUGAUACGGCACUAAGUGAUUACCAUGUGGUGGAGGUGGAGGUUACUGGUGCCAAUGGCUUCUCUCCCUCUCCUAGACUAAGUGAUUACCAUGUGGUGGAGGUUACUGGUGCCAAUGGCUUCUCUCCCUCUCCUAGACUAAGUGAUUACCAUGUGGUGGAGGUUACUGGUGCCAAUGGCUUCUCUCCCUCUCCUAGACUAAGUGAUUACCAUGUGGUGGAGGUUACUGGUGCCAAUGGUUUCUCUCCCUCUCCUAGACUAAGUGAUUACCAUGUGGUGGAGGUUACUGGUUCCAAUGGCUUCUCUCCCUCUCCUAGACUAAGUGAUUACCAUGUGGUGGAGGUGGAGGUUACUGGUGCCAAUGGCUUCACAGUGCAUACAGUGAGGAGGAACCCAGCCAAACUUGGAGCUGUAACUGGGAGUGCCACCUACAACUCCUUCUGGAGCAGCUUACUGGUGUGUAAGGGACAUGGUGGCCGGGUUUACUUGUGCUGAAGAGGGAGGGAUUUCAGAAGACAAUUCCCUCUACCAACCAAACACUCACAACACUAUGACUAAGUGAUUACCAUGUGGUGGAGGUGGAGGUUACUGGUGCCAAUGGCUUCUCUCCCUCUCCUAGACUAAGUGAUUACCAUGUGGUGGAGGUUACUGGUGCCAAUGGCUUCUCUCCCUCUCCUAGACUAAGUGAUUACCAUGUGGUGGAGGUUACUGGUGCCAAUGGCUUCUCUCCCUCUCCUAGACUAAGUGAUUA